GAUGAACGCUGGCGGCGUGCCUAAUACAUGCAAGUCGAGCGAACGGACGAGAAGCUUGCUUCUCUGAUGUUAGCGGCGGACGGGUGAGUAACACGUGGAUAACCUACCUAUAAGACUGGGAUAACUUCGGGAAACCGGAGCUAAUACCGGAUAAUAUUUUGAACCGCAUGGUUCAAAAGUGAAAGACGGUCUUGCUGUCACUUAUAGAUGGAUCCGCGCUGCAUUAGCUAGUUGGUAAGGUAACGGCUUACCAAGGCAACGAUGCAUAGCCGACCUGAGAGGGUGAUCGGCCACACUGGAACUGAGACACGGUCCAGACUCCUACGGGAGGCAGCAGUAGGGAAUCUUCCGCAAAGGGCGAAAGCCUGACGGAGCAACGCCGCGUGAGUGAUGAAGGGUUUCGGAUCGUAAAACUCUGUUAUUAGGGAAGAACAUAUGUGUAAGUAACUGUGCACAUCUUGACGGUACCUAAUCAGAAAGCCACGGCUAACUACGUG
rnacentral:rRNA from 1 species